rnacentral:rRNA from 1 species
AUUGAACGCUGGCGGCAUGCCUUACACAUGCAAGUCGAACGGUAACAGGUCUUCGGAUGCUGACGAGUGGCGAACGGGUGAGUAAUACAUCGGAACGUGCCCGAUCGUGGGGGAUAACGCAGCGAAAGCUGUGCUAAUACCGCAUACGAUCUACGGAUGAAAGCGGGGGAUCGCAAGACCUCGCGCGGACGGAGCGGCCGAUGGCAGAUUAGGUAGUUGGUGGGAUAAAAGCUUACCAAGCCGACGAUCUGUAGCUGGUCUGAGAGGACGACCAGCCACACUGGGACUGAGACACGGCCCAGACUCCUACGGAGGCAGCAGUGGGGAAUUUUGGACAAUGGGCGCAAGCCUGAUCCAGCCAUGCCGCGUGCAGGAUGAAGGCCUUCGGGUUGUAAACUGCUUUGUUACGGAACGAAAAAGUUACUCUCUAAUACAGGGGCGAAGUGACGGUACCGUAAGAAUAAG